rnacentral:SRP_RNA from 1 species
GCCGGACGCGGUGGCGCGCGCCUGUAGUCCCAGCUACCCGGGAGGCUGAGGCAGGAGGAUCGCUUGAGUCCAGGAGUUCUGGGCUGUAGUGCGCUAUGCCGAUCGGGUGUCCGCACUAAGUUCGGCAUCAAUAUGGUGACCUCCCGGGAGCGGGGGACCACCAGGUUGCCUAAGGAGGGGUGAAUCGGCCCAGGUCGGAAACGGAGCAGGUCAAAACUCCCGUGCUGAUCAGUAGUGGGAUCGCGCCUGUGAGUAGCCACUGCACUCCAGCCUGGGCAACAUAGCGAGACCCUGUCUCCU